rnacentral:lncRNA from 10 species
UGGAGGCUGAGGCUACAGUGAGCCCUGAUCAUGCCACUGCACUCCAGCCUGGGUGACAAAACAAAACCUGGUCUUAAAACAAAACAUAGAAAUCCUCAAAGAAGCUUCUCUUCCCACAUGGAAAAACAGAAACCCAGAAAUUGAGUGAAAAUUGAGUGAAAUCAGGACUCCUUGGGCUGACCACUAAGGCUUUAAGAAAAAAAGUCGGAUGCUCCUUACUUAGGGAAAAUGUGAAUGUGAGCUACUCUGUUCUUUCUUUCUUUCUUUUUUUUUUUUUUCUGAGACAAAGUCUCAUUCUGUCGCCCAGGGUGGAGUGCAGUGGUGCGAUCUCGGCUCACU